UAUGUAAAUGCCCAUUUUUAAGUUUGUAAAAUAAUAAUUUGUUUUUAUAAAAAAUCUGGCUAUGCCUGUAGUACUCUUAACAAAAUUAUGACUAAAAAUAUUAUGAACGUCGAGUCGCUAGAUUCAUCAUCUAUGUGUGUCUGAUAAACCCAGAGAAUCAGAAUGAAGAUAUAGAAUCUAUAUAGGCCCCCUAUUAUAUAGAAUCUAGCUCUAGUUGACUCUAGACUAGAUCUAAGAUAAUUUCAAGUCUAGAUGAUCAGCUUCAUCUUACCUUGAUCAUGAUGAUUAAUUUUAAUCUGACUUCCUGACUUGUUAACAGUUAACUUAAACUAAAAAAAGUUAAACUUCGUCUUACUUAGCCCUUAGCUUCUUCAUAUGUGAAUCAUGAAUGGAAGUGCUUGGCUCACAGUGUCACAGAUCGUUCUUUAAACUAUUUGAAGAUCUACUUUAUCUUUACUAACGACUCUAAUCUAUAUCUAGUUUAUAUCUAUAUUUUAUAUGAUAAUAAUAGACCUAGACUCUUAUACUUUUAAUAAAGUUAUAAGAUCUAGAAUCUGUAUCUAGAUCUAUUCCCAUUUAUACACUGAUAAUACACUACAAAUUUAAUGUUUCUAAAGUACACAAAGGAUGUUGAAAGGUACCCAAAGGGCUCUAAUUGCUACCAUUCAAUGUGUGGAAUCAAGUAUUUACCCAGAUACUGCCACAAUAUGUUCUUAUUAUUUUCAAAGGAGUUUUCACACAGUGCCAGAACUUCUGGCAGAAGCUGUAUAAAUACAUUUAACAAUGUAUAUUUCAAGAAGAAAUGAUGCUUUCUUAUUUCUAAGAGUUUAUCAAUAGAAUGAAUGCCACAAAACUCACUUGUUAUGCCAGAAACUCUUCCUACGAAACUUCCAUACUAGAAUUUGUCCAGUGCCUGUGAUCCUCUGAGUUGAAGGAGAAUGUGCUCCAUAAUACCUACUAGGAGCUUGCUGAUAGCUGGAAGUUCAUGAAUACUAUGUUGUCCUUGAUUUGAUGAUUCUGAAAACUACCAUUUCUGAAGACUUGAGCAUUAUUUCUAUAAUUUAAAAAAAUCUUUUCAGGAAAUAUUGUGUUUAUAAUAUUAAGAAAGUGAAGAUAAUAUUGUUCUUACUAAUAUUAUUAACUUAUUAAAAUAGAAAGCACAUCAUUACCAAUAUUCACUUGUCAAUAAAUGUUAGCAUUAUUCAAUUUUUAGUUGCAUGUUCAGACUAUUAAAUUUUAUUAUUUAAAUUAUAGCAACUUUCUCUUUCAGUCAAGCUUAAGAUACAUUCCUGUAAAAAGUCUAUAAUAAUAAGUUAAUGUCGAUGUAGUAUUGUUCAGACACUUACAAGUUUAAUCAUCUAUACUUCACAAAAAAAAAAGUGUUUGAAUGGUUUUCAUUUGUUUGUACAUCAAAUAUGUAUUAAUAUAAUUAUCAUUUUAAGAUGAAACAUUAAAUACUGAAGAUGACCAUUUCAAUUUCUGAUGUAGGCCUAUUCUCAUUUCAUCAAAUAAACAGAAUAUUAUCUGAAAUUUCAUCCCUUCAUGGUAACUGUAACUGGCUUCAUAAACAAAUGGAGUGAUGACUGGGUUGACUAUACAUUUUUGUAUAAAUAAUGCAUCAAUGAAUGUAGCUUAGAUUGUUCUUUUCCUCAUCUUGAAAUGUGUGGACUGAUAAUUAGCUGUUGCAUGAUACUCUAAAUGACAAAUAUCUUCUACUCAUUACAAUAGCACAUUUCCAUGCUGUUUGGCUAAGUGGAAGCAGAUAAAAUUUGUUCCUCUAUUAGCUGUAAAAUCUCGAAAUUCAUGAGCAGCUGAGAAGAAAAGAAAUUCAAACUAGUUUAGACAUGUUAUAAAUAUAUAUAUAUUUGCUAAUUAAAAAAUGUAAGACUACUUUAUGUUACAACAAUGGACAGCAUCUUUAAAGUUGAUUUCAAUGCAAUCACAAGAAAUAAUUUUUUCUCUACAAUUAGGCCUGCUUUAAUGAUUUUUUUUUAAUGUAAAUAAAUUUUAUGCAUAGGAUUAAAUAUAACAUGUACUU